AAAAACCUAAGACUAUAACUAUUAAUUUGUCUGUUUUAGUUGAAUUUUUUGGUGCUAUUAUUACUCUCUCAAACUCUUCUAAUAAUGCAUGAACAUAGGUACAAAUCCCCUAAGUUUUGAACGGGUGCAAGAGUUACUAGUAUGAUGCAACAAUUCUGAGCAAACAGUAACAUAUUCUUACAAAUUCAUGUGUUUUUGAGUCAUUUUUUCCUGUAAAGAGUAAUCAUACGUGUUGUAGUAGGCAUUGGUGAGUAUAUAAAUAUAUAUAGUACAGACAAAGAAAAACAUCUUAUAUGCCACCUGAGUACAUGCAUUUUAUAUGCUCAGAAAAAACACACAAACACAAGAAAAACAAUAAAAAAUAAAAAGAAGUAUCUUGAAACAUACCAGUUCUGUUCGCUUGGAAU
rnacentral:lncRNA from 1 species